CAGCAGCCGCGGUAAAACCAGCUCUUCAAGUGGUCGGGACGAUUAUUGGGCUUAAAGUGUCCGUAGCCGGUUUGGUAAGUUCUUGGUUAAAUAUGACAGCUUAACUGUCAAUCUGCUAAGAAGACUGCCUUACUAGGGGGCGGGAAAGGUCUGAGGUACUCCAGGGGUAGCGGUGAAAUGUGAUAAUCCUUGGGGGACCACCAGUGGCGAAGGCGUCAGACUGGAACGCGCCCGACGGUGAGGGACGAAAGCUAGGGGAGCGAACGGGAUCAGAUACCCCGGUAGUCCUAGCUGUAAACGAUGCGUGCUAGGUGUUGGUAGGGCUAUGAGCUGUAUCAGUGCCGUAGGGAAACUGUUAAGCACGCCGCCUGGGAAGUACGCUCGCAAGAGUGAAACUUAAAGGAAUUGGCGGGGGAGCACCACAAGGGGUGAAGCCUGCGGUUCAAUUGGACUCAACGCCGGGAAACUUACCGGGGGCGACAGCAGAAUGAAGGUCAGGCUGACGACCUUACCAGACAAGCUGAGAGGAGGUGCAUGGCC
rnacentral:rRNA from 1 species